GAUGAACGCUGGCGGCGUGCUUAACACAUGCAAGUCGAACGAAGCACUUUAUUUGAUUUCCUUCGGGACUGAUUAUUUUGUGACUGAGUGGCGGACGGGUGAGUAACGCGUGGGUAACCUGCCUUGUACAGGGGGAUAACAGUUGGAAACGGCUGCUAAUACCGCAUAAGCGCACAGCAUCGCAUGAUGCAGUGUGAAAAACUCCGGUGGUAUAAGAUGGACCCGCGUUGGAUUAGCUAGUUGGUGAGGUAACGGCCCACCAAGGCGACGAUCCAUAGCCGACCUGAGAGGGUGACCGGUCACAUUGGGACUGAGACACGGCCCAAACUCCUACGGGAGGCAGCAGUGGGGAAUAUUGCACAAUGGGCGAAAGCCUGAUGCAGCGACGCCGCGUGAGCGAAGAAGUAUUUCGGUAUGUAAAGCUCUAUCAGCAGGGAAGAUAAUGACGGUACCUGACUAAGAAGCACCGGCUAAAUACGUG
rnacentral:rRNA from 1 species